CCGAGAUGUUCCUACCGGUUAAAUUUUAUAUUAGUUGCUAUUAUUGAACUAAAAAAGGCUGAGGCAGAUUUUUUCUAACUGAAGAAAGUCUUUAACAAAUUUUCGGGAAAAAUCGUUAAUUUUUCUGAAAUAAUCUUGAUUGAAAUCGUUCCUAGAAGAAAACACGUUCCGCACUUUGAUUUUUCGGAAUUCAUCAUUAUUUUCGCAUGUCUUAGUUUCAAACGGUUGUUCACAUCAGUCAUCAAUCAGAACAAUUUAAUUUUAUAAAAUUCCAAGCUAAGCAACUUUUCGGAAACUUUCACAGAUGCUUAUUCAAGAUAAAUAAAUUUAUCUAAUCUUGUCUUUCCGAAUAAAAUCAGAUUUUGGUUUCAAAACUCCUGAUUUUCUGAGCUAACUGGAAGAAAACGUUUCCGAGCGCAAUGAGAAAAUUGAAUUGAAAAUCAAUCCAAGUUAGUUUACAGUAUCGGAAAUUCCGCAUUUCACACUGACUGAAAUAAUUGUAUGAAAAAGUGUUCCUCAAGGACUGUUUCGACUUAAUUUCAUACAAAGGCAACUCAGGCUCCGGAAAGGUUGAAGCCGCAAGCACUUAAAUUUAAAGGAAAACUUAAACAGAGACUAAAAAAUAUAUUCUAGUUUAUUAGAGUUGCUAAUAUUAGGCCAACAUCACUUGUUGAUUGGCUUGGAAAACCGCUAUUGGCAGAUGAUUUUCAGAUAUUAUCGGGAUAAUGUAACACGUACUUCGGUGACAUCGAGUCUGAACUUUAUCUAAAUGCUAUAAUUUACGCCAACAACCUUCAGACCCACCGAUUUUUAUUAAUUAACAAUCAAGUUCCACUUCAGUAAGUUGAGCGGUUUCAAUGAAUCGACUAGUUGAAAAUCGGGGCUUGUUCACGUUCGUGUCUUACCAUCACUAUUUCUAUUUAUCCAAAGUUUACAAAUGAAUGGGGCGGAAGUAGCGUAGGAUUAACAAUGUGGUGAAAUAAUAUCUAUUCGUGAAUUUUAAAAAUGUAUUUUUAAAUAUUACUACCAUCAAUGAGACUGCCAAUAUUUGAAAAGGGGUUUUCACGAAUUUUCCGGUUUAUUUUUGGAGACUUCAGGUAAGUGCGUGGAUCAAGGAAACCUGCCAGCACCUCAAUUCUAUAAAACAAUUAUCUCUUAAUAGCUCAUAGCUUAAAAGCACUUUUCCUUCAAGUUUGGUGAUUAGCAAAAAAAUCUACGAGCGGUCAAUUACCUUAACACUUGUCUUUGUUGGUAGGACACUAAUGAAAGAUCACUGGCCUCACGUGGUAGCGUUCUAAAAAUUAUAUUUAUAGAAAAACAUUCUGGGAAAUUUCAAAUUCGUAAUUUUCUCUUAAUUGCCAGUCCUAAAAGGAAUCAUCGGGAACAAUUGAAGCCGAAAACAGCUUAAAGCCACUGGGGGCUAAUGCUUUUUCAUACUAGAUAAAUUGUCCUAAUUAACUUUUUGGGUUUUCGAAAAAUAUCGUUCUAUUUCAGAACUUUAAUGGUUUGUUGGCAAACAUAAUUAUCAGCUGUUUAGGCGGUCGGCCUUCUGGAAAGCGUCGAAAAUGUUUUUUCGCUGUCUAUUUUUAACGUGAUUGCAAGGUCUAGGUUUUUGAUAAUCGCAUCAUCAGUCAGAAGGAAAAACAAACCGUUAAAUUAGUCGAAAUACCUGAUU